GAUGAACGCUGGCGGCGUGCCUAAUACAUGCAAGUCGAGCGAACAGACGAGGAGCUUGCUCCUCUGACGUUAGCGGCGGACGGGUGAGUAACACGUGGAUAACCUACCUAUAAGACUGGGAUAACUUCGGGAAACCGGAGCUAAUACCGGAGAAUAUAUUGAACCGCAUGGUGCAAUAGUGAAAGACGGUUUUGCUGUCACUUAUAGAUGGAUCCGCGCCGCAUUAGCUAGUUGGUAAGGUAACGGCUUACCAAGGCAACGAUGCGUAGCCGAGCUGAGAGGGUGAUCGGCCACCCUGGAGCGGAGCCACGGUCCAGACUCCUACGGGAGGCCGCAGUAGGCAAUCUUCCGCAAUGGGCGAAAGCCUGGCGGAGCAGCGCCGCGUGAGUGAUGAAGGUCUUCCGAUCGUAAAACUCUGUUAUUAGGGAAGAACAAAUGUGUAAGUAACUAUGCACGUCUUGACGGUACCUAAUCAGAAAGCCACGGCUAACUACGUG
rnacentral:rRNA from 1 species